AUGGAAAAGAAAUGCAAAGAAGCAAAAUGGCUGUCUGGGGAGGCCAUACAAAUACCUGUGAAAAAAAGAGAGGCGAAAAGCAAAGGAGAAAAGGAAAGAUAUAAGCAUCUGAAUGCAGAGUUCCAAAGAAUAGCAAGAAGAGAUAAGAAACCCUUCCUCAGUGAUCAGUGCAAAGAAAUAGAGGAAAACAACAGAAUGGGAAAGACUAGAGGUCUCUUCAAGAAAAUUAGAGAUACCAAGGGAACAUUUCAUGCAAAGAUGGGCUCGAUAAAGGACAGAAAUGGGAUGGACCUAACAGAAGCAGAAGAUAUUAAGAAGAGGUGGCAAGAAUACACAGAAGAACUGUACAAAAAAGAUCUUCACGACCCAGAUAAUCACGAUGAUGUGAUCACUCACCUAGAACCAGACAUCCUGGAAUGUGAAGUCAGGUGGGCCUUAGAAAGCAUCACUAUGAACAAAACUAGUGGAGGUGAUGGAAUUCCAGUUGAGCUGUUUCAAAUCCUGAAAGAUGAUGCUGUGAAAGUGCUGGACUCAAUAUGCCAGCAAAUGUGGAAAACUCAGCAGUGGCCACAGGACUGGAAAAGGUCAGUUUUCAUUCCAAUCUCAAAGAAAGGCAAUGCGAAAGAAUGCUCAAACUACCGCACAAUUGCACUCAUCUCACAUGCUAGUAAAGUAAUGCUCAAAAUUCUCCAAGCCAGGCUUCAGCAAUACGUGAACCAUGAACUUCCAGAUGUUCAAGCUGGUUUUAGAAAAGGCAGAGGAACCAGAGAUCAAAUAGUCAACGUCCACUGGAUGAUGGAAAAAGCAAGAGAGUUCCAGAAAAACAUCUAUUUCUGCUUGAUUGACUAUGCCAAAGCCUUUGACUGUGUGGAUCACAAUAAACUGUGGAAAAUUCUGAAAGAGAUGGAAAUACCAGACCACCUGACCUGCUUCUUGAGAAAUCUGUAUGCAGGCCAGGAAGCAACAGUUAGAACUGGACAUGGAACAACAGACUGGUUCCAAAUAGGGAAAGGAGUACGUCAAGGCUGUAUAUUGUCACCCUGCUUAUUUAACUUAUAUGCAGAGUACAUCAUGAGAAACACUGGACUGGAAGAAACACAAGCUGGAAUCAAGAUUGCCGGGAGAAAUAUCAAUAACCUCAGAUAUGCAGAUGACACCACCCUUAUGGCAGAAAGAAAAGAGGAACUAAAAAGCCUCUUGAAAGUGAAAGAGGAGAGUGAAAAAGUUGGCUUAAAGCUCACCAUUCAGAAAACGAAGAUCAUGGCAUCUGGUCCCAUCACUUCAUGGGAAAUAGAUGGGGAAACAGUAGAAACAGUGUCAGACUUUAUUUUUUGGGGCUCCAAAAUCACUGCAGAUGGUGACUGCAGCCAUGAAAUUAAAAGACGCUUACUCCUUGGAAGAAAAGUGAUUAGCAACCUAGAUAGUGUAUUCAAAAGCAGAGACAUUACUUUGCCGACUAAGGUCCAUCUAGUCAAGGCUAUGGUUUUUCCAGUGGUCAUGUACGGAUGUGAGAGUUGGACUGUGAAGAAGGCUUGA
rnacentral:lncRNA from 1 species